UCACCAGGUUGAUUCUGCCUGACGUAGACGCUAUUCCCUAAGAUUAACCCAUGCAUGUUUUUGAAGAUUAUUAUCUGAAAAAUGGACUGCUCAGUAAUACUCACUUUAUUUUAUGUGCACCGCAGAUAACUACGUUAAAGUGUAGAUAACAUGUGUACAGUAAGAGUGAGACCUAUCAGCUAGUUGUUARGGUAAUGGCUUAACAAGGCAGUGACGGGUAACGGUAUUACUUUGUAAUAUUCCGGAGAAGGAGCCUGAGAGACGGCUACUAAGUCUAAGGAUUGCAGCAGGGGCGAAACUUGACCUAUGGAUUUUAUCUGAGGCAGUUAUGGGAAGUAAUAUAUUAUUGUUUCAUAUUUUAAAAAUAUAUGAGGUGAUUAAUUGGAGGGCAAAUCAAGUGCCAGCAGCCGCGGUAAUACUUGUUCCAAGAGUGUGUAUGAUGAUUGAUGCAGUUAAAAAGUCCGUAGUUUAUUUUUAAGAAGCAAUAUGAGGUGUACUGUAUAGUUGGGAGAGAGAUGAAAUGUGACGACCCUGACUGGACGAACAGAAGCGAAAGCUGUACACUUGUAUGUAUUUUUUGAACAAGGACGUAAGCUGGAGGAUCGAAGAUGAUUAGAUACCAUUGUAGUUCCAGCAGUAAACUAUGCCGACGAUGUGAUAUGAGUAUUUGUAUUACAUAGUAGAAAUUAGAGUUUUUUGGCUCUGGGGAUAGUAUGAUCGCAAGAUUGAAAAUUAAAGAAAUUGACGGAAGAAUACCACAAGGAGUGGAUUGUGCGGCUUAAUUUGACUCAACGCGAGGUAACUUACCAAUAUUUUAUUAUUCUGAGAGAAUCCUGAUUCGAGAAUGAUAAUAGUGGUGCAUGGCCGUUUUCAAUGGAUGCUGUGAAGUUUUGAUUAAUUUCAACAAGACGUGAGACCCUUUUAUAUAGACAGACACAAUCAGUGUAGGAAGGAAAGGAUUAAAACAGGUCCGUUAUGCCCUCAGACAUUUUGGGCUGCACGCGCAAUACAAUAGAUAUACAGUCUUUAUGGGAUAAUAUUUUGUAAGAGAUAUUUGAACUCGGAAUUGCUAGUAAAUUUUAUUGAAUAAGUAGAAUUGAAUGUGUCCCUGUUCUUUGUACACACCGCCCGUCGCUAUCUAAGAUGAUAUAUGCUGUGAAAUUAGUGCAAACUACUUGAACAAUAUGUAUUAGAUCUGAUAUAAGUCGUAACAUGGUUGCUGUUGGAGAACCAUUAGCAGGAUCAUAAUCAGGAAGUAUAAGUUUGUUUGUAUGUCAUUACCCACACAUGGGAUCAAUAGGAUACCAUAACGAUGAAGGUCGUAGUAGAAUACGAAAGUAUACUUACCGAAUUUAUAUUCUAGUAUAGAUUACCCUUUGAACUUAAGCAUAUCAUUAGAAGGAGGAAAAGAAACUAACUAGGAUUUCUUUAGUAGCAGCGAGUGAACAAGAAUCAACCCUUGAUUGUAAUCCUUUACUGGAGAUGUAAAUCACUGUUUUAUUACUUAUUUAUAAAGAAUAUGUAUUAUUCGUCAGCAAYAAAAUAGUAAAUGUUUUUGAGUAGGGCUGCUUGGUAGUGCAGUUUGAAUACAGGUAGAAUGAGAUAUCUAAGGUUAAAUAUAAUGGUAUACCGAUAGCAAAUAAGUACUGCGAAGGAAUUUGUGAAAAUGUGUGGGAUGUAGCCUUAUUU
rnacentral:rRNA from 1 species